UCAGAUCUCGAGGCGCCCCCAGACUCACACUAAUUGCGCAGUGGCCAACCCUCACACUAAUUGCGUUGCUUGCUGAACCCAACCUAAUAAUAAUCCUAAGAGGCCCAGACUCCAACCAUUCCUCACUCUGUUGGAUUGGAUACGCAGCUGCCCACCCUCCUCUCCCCGACGUCUCCUCUCCCAGAUCGAUCUCACCGCCGACGCAGUCCCUCUGCCGCCUCCCCCUCACCGCGGCCCCUCCCUCCCUCGCCGGCCACCCUUCACCGCAUCACCGGCCCGAUCUGUGUGGCGGCCGCCCGAUCAACUGGGACAAAAAAAGACGGCCAGACCGUGGUUCUCGGCGCCGCCGGACGCCGACAUGAACGGCAGGGGGAUGUGAGGAGGAAGGCCUGGUGAUGGCCUGACAAGGAUGCUGCAGCCGGCGACCACCUCUCCGACCUUCUCCCCACGCCGGCAACAUCCCUGGACGGCUGGACUUGCUGCUCCCGACACCAUCCACCUCUCCGUGCCGCUGUUGCUGCCUCCCAGAACGCUUGGAUGGGCCGGACACGGAGAAGAGCAAAGCCGCGGUCGACUGCUUGGCAUUGGCUGACGUGCGGGAGCACUUUGCUGAGAGCAGCGUCUACAGCCUCGCCGUGCUUGUCCGCCUCCUCGGCUACGUCCUACCUCUCCGCCAUCCAGCUUUACACAUCCACCUGCCUCACCAUCUCCAGGAGGAGCACGGGCAGCGAAACGGAUUCCUUGAGCGGAGUUGGUUAUUAGAAGUUUGUAGAACCAGCAUACAACAGUGUUGUCUUGUCAUCGAAGCCUGAAUUUCCAGUACAGGGAGUGGGACUGACCUUACGGCAGCCAUUAGGGGUGUCGACGUGGGGUGUCAGCCAUUAGGAUGCGACGCCGGCGUCGCGAGUCACCUAGGGGAGAACCCACCAGCAGGCGUAAGCCCCUGGUGGCUGCGUCCUUCGCCGCCGCCAUGUUCCUGUCGCCGGUGGCUGCGAAAUCCAGCGGGGAUGGGGCAGCACUCUGAGCUGUUAUGAUUGCUGCUCUUCGACGUCGUCCACUCGCAGCAGUGUAUGAACUAACCACAACCACCCCUUGUCAGGGAUGGCUCCCUCCAUGUCUGCAACACCAUCUGGACACGCAGGAAGGAGGAGAUGGUGGUGGUGGUGUCCUUAACCGCUGCCAAGGUCCUGGCGACGGCGGUCGCGCCCUUCCCAUGUCCUCGCAGUCUCCUCCGAUGUCAUUGCCGGGAGCAAGACAGCAUCUACCCCCGCUGUGCAGCUGCGCUGACCUCCCCAAGCUGUUGGUGGCUUCCACCUGGAGCUGACUGGCGACAUCCUCGACCUACUGCUGGCCACAGCACCGAUGUGAUGCUCCCUCGCUGCCUCGUACCCUGACACCAUGAAGAGGCUCUAGCUUUUCUGCGGUGAUGCUCGAGAGGGAUGUAUUGGUUCCAACCCUUGAUGGCAGUGACCUGAUUGCAAGUUCAAAGACGGGAACUGGAGAAGGCAUUAGACUUUGGUGAUGUCAUUUCCCUCAAGACUUGGUUCUUGCACCCAUUAGAGAGUUGGCUAAACUAGGUCCAACAUUUCUAGGAUUCUUCAUAUACAAGGGAACAUCUUGUGAACUUCAGGCGUUGUAUUCCUCCCCGAUUUGCAGGUUAGAGCCGUCGGUCAAGCAUGUCCCUGUCUAGCCUCUUUUUACUGGAAACUUUUGAUUGAUUCUUCUCGCAUGGGUCCUUCUACAUCCAUCGUCGGCUGCAGCUUAUGCAUGGACAUGCCGGUAUCACGUCCUUAUUCUUCUGGAAAAAGUCUUGCGGCAUUGUGUCAUUGGCACCAUCUUCUUGAGCUUUCCAUGGGAUGUGCCAGCAUUUAAAUUUUUUGAUGACAGCUUAGUGUAGAAUCGUGUCAGGUGCCACACAUCUCCCGCGCCUUAGGAAGUUUCUUAGUAAUAACCAUAUGGUUCUAAUUGGCAUGCAACUAAAAUUUGUGAUGCCUUCUUAUUAUAGUAAAAGAAUGUGGUUUAGUACUUGAGAAGUUAGCCAAGAAAACUACUCCAUCCGAUCCAUAUUAGUUGCAACUAAUAUAGAUGUAUCUAGACAUAUUGUAGUUCUAGAUACAUCCAUACUAAUGUCAAGUAAUAUGAAUCGGAGGGAUUAUUUUAUUUACUCUUGGAUUGCAUGGACUAAUCAUGUAACUGGUCAGUUUGGGUGAUCAUCCAUCAAUUUAUCUACUGAAAGUGCAUUAUAUAUUUUUAGAAAUUCUUGCUUCUGCCAUGCACAAAAGUCCGUCGACUUCUGUAUAAUUUGGGAACACAAUUGACCAUACUUUACUAUACAAUGCAUUUGUAUGUUAAUCUGAUAAUUUUAUUUACUCUUGGAUUGCAUGGACUAAUCAUGUAACUGGUCAGUUUGGGUGAUCAUCCAUCAAUUUAUCUAUUGAAAGUGCAUUAUAUAUUUUUAGGAAUUCUUGCUUAUGCCAUGCACAAAAGUCCGUCGACUUCUGUAUAAUUUGGGAACACGAUUGACCAUACUUUACUAUGCAAUGCAUUAGUAUGUUUAUCUGAUAAUUUUCGAUUGUAUGGUUGUGGAUACCAAUCUGGCCCAAACUGCAUUGCUUGCUAUUCUUUGUUUCUUUUGAUAUUCCACCAGUAAAUAAGUUCCAUCGGGAACAGAUUAUUCACUUGUUCUGUAUAUUGAAUUUUUGACGAAACCUUACCGUUGAAGUUAGAUCGAUAUAUGCCAUAUAUGUUGGGUAAUCUGUCCAUAGCCUAGGCUAUGCACAUAGUUAGUUUAUUGCAGUGUUCCUCCGAUGGCCUGAUCCCUGCAUCACCUGUUACUUUGGUGAACUGCUGUUACUUUGCUCAAUUUUGUUUUUUGGUACAAGGAGAGAACUUCUCAAGGCUACUUCAGCUAAUUCCAGACACGCCACGGAAUUAUGCUGUACAUAACUAAAUCGUGUUAGGCUGUUAGGAAGCAUGGACUAUGGAGCAAGAUGAGAUGAUUGAGGAUGUGCCGAGCAGUGCAUCAUAUUUUUGGUGACAUAAAGAUACAGGUUUGUCAUCAAACUUGGAAUUUACCAGCGUUUCUGCUUAUUUGUACUUGGUUAUAUCUGGUGGCACUCCAUGAGGUUGAGGAAGGAGUGCAAUUGCACGUUCUGGCUACGGUGGUGCUGGCCGCAGCCUCCUGCGCAAAAUGCAUUGUUUUAAUCCUGGCCUUCAUUCGGCUUCGACUACCUCAUCUACUUCCUCUUCGGCUCCUGCCACCGUGCGAUGGCCGCGAGUUCACCGUGACCCAACUAUGGCAGCGGUGGCCUUCUUCUCUGCUUCCAUGUUUUUCCCUGACACCCUACAAUGGAAGUGGACUGCUAGCGGCAAAGUCAUGCUACCUGGCCUCCUUCCAUGGCUCCACAACCUCACCAUCGUGGAGGAUGAUCUGGAAGUGUUGGGCGCCGCAGCCGCGGGUCAAAUUCUUCCACUGGCUCGCCAACCUUGACCGCUGCUGGACUGUCACCGCUUGGCCAGGAGAGGGCUGCCGCACCAGACUGUCUGCCCAUUGUGCAACCAGGCACCUGAGACCAUGCACCACCUGAUCAUCGAGUGCCUGUUUGCAGACAGGCAGCACAUGGUGUGGAAGCAACAGAAUGACUGCGUCUUCGAGGGAGCACAACCUUCCGGCAGUGCCAGCGUCUCCCUGAUCAAGGAAGAAGCCAGGAUGUCGUUGAGAGCUGGCACCCUGGGACUGCGUAUCCUCUUACCGACGACCUGGGACGUCCAUUAAGCACUCCUCUUGUAAUCUUCCUCUUAGGAGGGUUGUGAAACGUCCUAUCUUUUCAAUGAAAUGAAACGUAAAGUGUCCUUCAGAUCGCCAUCGCCCCAUGAGCAAUGACGUCGAUAGCAUAGAAAGACGCUGCCAGUCAGGUAAAGAAGGAGGAUGAGUUCUGCAUGGGGCCUCUGUCUGUGCGCAUGCUGAGCGUCAAGGUCUCGUACAGGGAUCAGUGACAGAUAUCAAGGUCAACAAGUACCUCACGAGGAGCCAGUAGAAGCAUUGGUCAGUAGAUGGCUGGUUUAAGUUUCUGGUCGGGGUGGCAGUUCCAGGUUAUUCUUUUGGAACCAAGUCAAACACCUUGUGCAAUUUUUGGAGUUCAAUCGCUCAAGUAUGCUCCUAGGCAUCUUAAUCAUCUCAUUCUGAUUUGUACCUACUUGUGUACUUUGACUAGCUAGCGCCUUUUCGUCCAUAUGAAGAACCGCUCACCUCGGCCUCCAGUGCUCGGACCCUGAUCAUUGUUGGGUGUUGCUCAGGCCCUGGCCACUGCUGGGCUAUGGCUUGGAGGCGGACGACUCCUCGCCUCCGUGGCGCAAACUAGUGGACAUGAUGUCCCAGCAUCUAGCUCAUUGCAGCCAUCUGUUAUCCUUGUUGAUUGGAUAGCAUGUCAUUGUGGUGAAGAAACCAUGGAAUGGCUGGAGUUCAUGUGUUGCUAGUCGUUGAGCCCCAAUUUGAUACCAGAUGAUGUAUUUUUCUUGAUUUUAAAGCCCAGAUGUAGAUAUCAACUUUGGUGCGUGUGUUUCAUACUGGCAGUGGAAGGCCAAUAGUUUGUACUUGUUUCGAUCUUGUUGUGGCUUGCUGGAUACACCAAGUUUUAGUAGGGAUGAAUAGGCAAUAGCUUGUUAAAAAAAAAGGCAAUAGCAAAACGAGUGUCUUUCAUCUGUAGAGGCUCAUCUGUUGUAGGGUUAUUACUGUACCGGUGAUGUAAUAUAUAAGACCAACCGUUUAUUUGGAUCGGCA